rnacentral:rRNA from 1 species
UACGGGGGGGGCAAGCGUUGUUCGGAAUUACUGGGCGUAAAGGGCUCGUAGGUGGCCAACUAAGUCAGACGUGAAAUCCCUCGGCUUAACCGGGGAACUGCGUCUGAUACUGGAUGGCUUGAGUUCGGGAGAGGGAUGCGGAAUUCCAGGUGUAGCGGUGAAAUGCGUAGAUAUCUGGAGGAACACCGGUGGCGAAGGCGGCAUCCUGGACCGGCAUUGACGCUGAUGAGCGAAAGCCAGGGGAGCAAAGCGGG